rnacentral:rRNA from 1 species
UGAGUAACCUGCCCUUCACUCUGGGAUAACUCCGGGAAACCGGGGCUAAUACUGGAUAAGACUCGAACAGGCAUCUGUUUCGGGUGGAAAGAUUUAUUGGUGGAGGAUGGACUCGCGGCCUAUCAGCUUGUUGGUGAGGUAAUGGCUCACCAAGGCGACGACGGGUAGCCGGCCUGAGAGGGCGAUCGGCCACACUGGGACUGAGACACGGCCCAGACUCCUACGGGAGCA